rnacentral:rRNA from 1 species
CCUACGGGAGGCAGCAGUGAGGAAUAUUGCUCAAUGGGCGCAAGCCUGAACCAGCCAAGUCGCGUGAGUGAUGACGGUCCUAUGGAUUUUAAACCUUUUCUGCCGGGGAGCAAGUCCCGCCACGUGUGGCGGGAAGGAGAGUACCCGAAGAAAAAGCAUCGGCUAACUCCCUGCCUGCAGCCGCGGUCAUACGUAGGAUGAGAGCGUUAGCCGUAGUUAUUGGGUUUAAAGGGCGCGUACUCGUAAGGUUAAGUCAACGGUCAAAUGUCGGUGCUAAACACCGGUCUGCAGUUGAAACUGGUAUUCUGGAGUGGGCGAGAGGUAUGCGGAAUGCGUGGUGUAGCGGUGAAAUGCAUAGAUAUCAGGAGGAACACCGAUUGCGAAGGCAGCCUCCCGGAGUGCGACUGACGCUGAGGCUCGAAGGUGCGGGGAGCAAACAGGAUUAGAUACCCCAGUAGUC